rnacentral:lncRNA from 1 species
GAAGACUGUAGAGUUAACCCUACAUCACUGGAUGGACAUGGACUGGCGAAUUAUAUUUUUGACAAGGAUAUACGUGCAUAACUUCAAUCAUCUUAACCAUCCCAACUUUUUGUGGUUGGUUAUGUACAUGCAAAAAGGCAUAUCUCUGAGAGCAUAUAUUAAAAAAUUUUUUAAAGGCAUUAUUGUUUUAGGUGAUCAAAAAGAUCCUAAAUUCAACACUUUUAUCAGAAUGAAGAAAAGCAGGUGGGGAAUCAUGCAUCAAGGAAAGUUCCGAUCUAUAUUUUUUACCAGGUAGAAGCUCAC